GCAGAGAUGCUUUGGUGCCUUCGGGAACUGUGAGACAGGUGCUGCAUGGCUGUCGUCAGCUCGUGUUGUGAAAUGUUGGGUUAAGUCCCGCAACGAGCGCAACCCUUAUCCUUUGUUGCCAGCGGUUCGGCCGGGAACUCAAAGGAGACUGCCAGUGAUAAACUGGAGGAAGGUGGGGAUGACGUCAAGUCAUCAUGGCCCUUACGACCAGGGCUACACACGUGCUACAAUGGCAUAUACAAAGAGAAGCGACC
rnacentral:rRNA from 3 species